GAUGAACGCUGGCGGCGUGCCUAAUACAUGCAAGUCGAGCGAAGCGGGGACGGGUGAGUAACACGUGGCUAACCUCCUAUAAGACUGGGAUAACUUCGGGAAACCGGAGCUAAACCGGAUCCUUAUAGAUGGAACUGCGCUGCAUUAGCUUGUUGGUAAGGUAACGGCUUACCAAGGCCACGAUGCAUAGCCGACCUGAGAGGGUGAUCGGCCACACGGGAACUGAGACACGGUCCAGACUCCUACGGGAGGCAGCAGGAGGGAAUCUUCGGCAAUGGGCGAAAGCCUGACGGAGCAACGCCGCGUGUGUGAUGAAGGUCUUCGGAUCGUAAAGCUCUGUUAUUAGGGAAGCGGUACCUAAAGAGGAAGCCACGGCUAACUACGUGCCAGCAGCCGCGGUAAGUC
rnacentral:rRNA from 1 species